rnacentral:lncRNA from 1 species
AUGGCUGAUGUAGAAUCCUACAUGUUUGAGACUCAGUGAUCGAGAAUCAAGAUUCUCUGAUCAUGAGUUCCACACAUUAUGGGUACCGGGGUCAAGAGUCCCACUGGUUGGGAUUUUUCGAUUAGGAUUACAUAUUGAUGAAUUCUGAUACCUGAUUGCCCAUCGGAUUUGGACUCAGUAUUUAUGAGAGAUUUAAUUAGUGAUUUGAUCACUAAUUAACUCAAUUUGAUUGAGUAAUUAUUUUUGGAUCAAGUCCAAUUGAAUUGGAUUCAGUUGGAUUUGACCCGAUUAGGUUAAGAGUUGACCUAAUCGUCGAGAUGGUUUGGUCCCUGAUUUGAUCAGGGGUUGGGCUUAGUCAAUUCCUAAUUUGAUUAAGAUUUUAUUGAGCCUAAUUAAGCCUAAUUAAGUUAGAUUUAAAUUAAUCUAAUUGGACCUAACUUAUUUGGUUCAAUUAGGUUGGUUUAAAUAAUUAAACCACCUUGACCCAAUCUCCAUGCGCCACC